rnacentral:rRNA from 1 species
CCCGCAACGAGCGCAACCCUUAUCCUUUGUUGCCAGCACUACGGGUGGGAACUCAAAGGAGACUGCCGGUGAUAAACCGGAGGAAGGUGGGGAUGACGUCAAGUCAUCAUGGCCCUUACGAGUAGGGCUACACACGUGCUACAAUGGCGUAUACAAAGAGAAGCAAACUCGCGAGAGCCAGCGGACCUCAUAAAGUACGUCGUAGUCCGGAUUGGAGUCUGCAACUCGACUCCAUGAAGUCGGAAUCGCUAGUAAUCGUAGAUCAGAAUGCUACGGUGAAUACGUU